rnacentral:rRNA from 1 species
CCCGCACAAGCAGCGGAGCGUGUGGUUUAAUUCGAUGCUACACGAAGAACCUUACCAGGGUUUGACAUGCAAGUGGUAGGAAACCGAAAGGCGACCGACCCUUCGGGGAGCUUGCACAGGUGCUGCAUAGCUGUCGUCAGCUCGUGUCGUGAGAUGUUCGGUUAAGUCCGCUAACGAGCGCAACCCUCGCUGUGUGUUACAAGUGUCACACGGUACUGCCGGUCUUAAGCCGGAGGAAGGUGGGGAUGACGUCAAGUCAGCAUGGCCUUUAUGUCCUGGGCUACACACACGCUACAAUGGCCAACACAAUAGGUUGCUAAGCCGCGAGGUGGAGCCAAUCCUCAAAGUUGGUCUCAGUUCAGAUUGCAGGCUGCAACCCGCCUGCAUGAAGAUGGAGUUGCUAGUAACCGCAGGUCAGCUAUACUGCGGUGAAUACGUUCCCGGGGCUU